GUGAAUGCAAAGAAAGAAAGGCUGUGAGGAUCAAACAAAGUUAACUGUAUGAAUGAAGUAAUCUUAUGCUCUUCUUAAACAAAGUGUGCUCUGAAGUGUCUGCGAAUAACUCAUCCAGCUGAAAUGAUAAAGUACACCAGACUGAUGGAAAACAUAACAUAGACAGGUCGUCGAUACAGGAAAGAAAGAAAGAAAAAAAGGCAGGAGAAGAGGAGGAGAAUCACUUUCAUUAUCAUGGCAGCACCUGAAGUUUUGUCCCUUCUCUACUUUUUCUGGAGACUGCACAGAGAGUAAAUAGGACCUCCUGGCAACAAUAGUACAAUACUCUGAUUUCAGAACAGUGUAUGUUGUACUGAGAGCCAUACCUAAAAUAUCUGUGGAUUCUAGAACAGAACGUUCAGGCCUAUUGUCCUGGGAAAACUAAAAAUGAACAAAAUCAAUUUCAUAGAUGGUUCAGAUGUUAAUGCCUACCUUGUGUCUGAGGCAAAAAAUAAACACAGAUGUACAGAUAUUAUUUAACUCACAUGAAAGAGAAGUCAUUUUCCAACCAUGCUGCAACUGCAUUUAAUGGAAAACUCACAGGUAAUCUCCUCCUCAGUUCUCUCUCUCAAGCAAGAUGAGACAGAGGGAGCACUUCCAAAAUUUCCAUCACAUAAAUUAUCAUAGAAUCCUUAGAGUUGGAAGGGACCCUUAAAGGCCAUCUAGUCCACCUCCCCUGGAAUGAAGAGGGACACCUACAGCUACAUCAGGUUGCCCAGAGUCCUGACCAGCCUGACCUUGAGUGUCUCCAGGUAUGAGGCAUCCAUCUCCUCUCUGGGCAACCUCUGCCAGUGCUUCACGACCAAGAAGAGAAAGAUGAAGAAGAUGAAGAUGACAAAGAAGACAGAGAAGUAAAAGAAAAAAAAAAAAGAAAAAACACUUUGUUGUAGCCCAAGCUGUCUAUAAAAGAAAAAGCAGAACUGUACAUAAAAUAAAAUGUUACAAAAAAAGAGAACAAUCUGCUUUGCAUAAUUUGGCUAAGACUAGACGUAUUAAUAUAGUAAUAUAUAUUACUAUAGGCUAGAUAUAUUAAUACAGUAAUAUUUUCUGAUGGAAACUUUUCCAGAACUAUCAUAAAUCAGUGACAACAUUAAAGUGAGUAUGUCAAGAUAAUUAGGAAAAUGGAGAAUAUUAUUUCCUUAGUUCUAUUAUGCAUUUAUAUUUUAGGAUUGCAUAACUGUCUUUCUAAAUGUAAUCACCCAUGCUCUACAUCAAAUGUACAUACAUAUAAGACAUAAACUAUUAACAGAUCCCCAGUUUGUUCAUGGAGUGACUGGUAUGUUAAAAAAGGGUGAUUGGAUUUACUCUUUAGAAAACAACACUCUACUUAUGGAAAAGAAAAGCAAGCCUUGGUAAGUAUCAUGCACUUUAUCUUUCAUAAUUAGUUUUGCUGUCCAUGCAUGGGCAGUUGCAUUUGGCUGUCCCACAUGCCUGCUUCAAGCUGUAGUUCAGUCUCAGCCUUGAGUUUCAGGGAUUUUGACAUGUCGUUGUUUAUCUCCCUACUUUAUGCAACAAGGAAACAUAUUUACAGCCUUCUGACCCUUUGCAUUGUGUCUCUAAGUACAACAUAUAAAUUUAUGUGCAUACCAGGAAUCCCCUUGCAUCUAGUGAAAUCCACAUGUAAUUUUCUGUGCCCAUAUUCCACCAUAUUUUUACAUGAACACAUGGCUUUUAUAACAGAUCCUGCUCAUAAUUUGAGGCCUGCCUUUUUCUGCAAUCCAGCCAUGGAAUGGAUUUUUAUUAAUAGGGCCCUAAGACUUUACACUUGACUUUGGAAAAAGAGCGGGCACUGGUGCCAAGUUUUGAACUACAUGAUCAUAAUUCGGUCUGUUGUGUCACACACAUUCAAAAAGGUAGUUCUAAAAUUCAUGUCCUC
ensembl:lncRNA